GGAAGUUGGGGCUGACUCAGCUGAGUUUGUGUGGAUGAACAAGUGGAAGUAGGCAAUGAUGAUGGAGAUCUGUGAAGUAGACAGUACAUAUUAUGAGAUUGGAUAAUAAUAGCAAGGUGUUGAAGUGGACAAAAUUUUUUAAGACCGCAAAGGAGGAGCUGGAGGAUGACAGAAAUUGAGGACUUGGUUUUUUGAAUAAUCACUAUGAGAGAGAGGAGGAAUUUAAAAGCCUCUUUUGUGGAUGUUUGAGGGUGGCUUUGGCUCACUCUUUUGUUUCAUUUCUUCACUCUUGCCUCUGAAUCAAAACAAAUAAACCCUCACUCCCACCAUCUCCAUUUCCACACUCUUCGGGUUUGUGUUUUUUACUUAUUCCAGAUCCUCUUGUUGUAAUUGAUCUGAUCCUAAUUUCAAGUCCAUGUUUUCAUCACACCCAGCAUAUUACUUGAUCAUGGCAGUGAAGUGAAAUUAAAUGGUGGAAGAGCUUGGCAUAAAGAUAUCUUCAUAUAUUAAUGACAACAUCCAAUCCCUCCAAUACUGUUUCUGUUGCAGUUGAAAAAUAUGGAAGGUUUUGAUGGAGUAUGCAAGUGUGAUUUUUCUGGGUUGGUGAUUUGCCCAUUACAAGCCAGCCUACCCAUUGAGCAGCAAGCAGACUGUUUGAACCUUGUCCAAAAAGGUUGAAAAGAGAUGUGUUGGCCAAGGAUGAAGCAGAAAGUGAAAGAAGUGCUAGAGUGUUAAUAAUGCUCAAUCAGCCGGUGGUCUAUGAAAGCUUUUAUUCAUCAUCCCUCGGUGAUUCUCCUAACAGCUCUGGAGGCUUUUGGCUAUAUGAUGACAUGUCAAAUUAAAAUGUGUAUUGCUGCAUCUGGUGCACCUUUUGUACUAUUGGGAGCCAUGGUUUCUAAGCUUUUCACUAAUCGGACAAUCUAUGCAAAUAAGGUCUUGACUCCUAUAUGUAGUGUGCAGCACUUGUAACGCUCAUGCUCAUUAUAGCCAUAAAUUUGCCCCUCGGAUUUCUACCUCAUGUGGACAAUUCAGCUCAAAUUGAAGGAUUCCAGUCAGGAUUUCCCCUUGGCUUGGAUAUGUAAGCCACAAAUAAAUUCCUCCAAGAUAUGAAAUGAAGCAGAAAUCCAAGCACAAGUGCUAUCAAUACCUUUUAUAGCAUUACUGCUUUACUCCUCUAAAUUCUUGGAAAUUGGCAGAUAUGCAUAUGGAUGUAUUGAGCUAUUUAAUGGUCAGAAGCCAUAUUGCUGUAUAUUCUGCCUUUCUAGAGCAUCAAUCAGUUGAAUGAUUAUGUCAGUCUAUUUGCCUAUUCUUCAAGCUUUGCAAGUAUAACAAAACUACUCUUGUAUGGAUGCGCACUGUGACAAAGGAUCUUGGCAGUUUACACCUCCCAUUGUCGGCUUUUGAAGCUAGCCAGCUUGCAGAUUGUGCAGCCACUUCUUUUAUGCUCAUCACUUGGGUACCUAAGCAAGAGAUUUGGAAACUAAGAAAUCAUAAAGUGCAUAAUAGAGGUUCUGUCGGUAUUCUGAUGGCAGGCAAGCAUAUUCAAGCCUAAUCUAUGGAGUUUCAGUCCUUAAUGUCUGUUGAGAACAGUAAAGUAACAAGCUUAGCCCACUUGUCCUGGGAAUCUCCUUGAGUGAUCAAGAUCGAUAUUGAUGCAGCAGUCUCAGACUCAGUCACCACCUUGGCUGUCUUGGCUCGAGACUCUGAUGGUAAGGUUAUGAAGGUUUGAACUAAAUUGCAUGGAAGUGCUCCCCUCUCCAAGCUGAAGCGCUGUUCAGAUUGCUACUAGCAAGCUACAGAGCUGUCAUUUUUUAGGGUGACUCUAAAGUUUGUUUUGAGCCCUUAAUUUCCAGAGACCUCCCAUCUGAUUGAUCCAUAAGUAACAUCAUUUGUAAUAUUAUUAGUAUCUCCGAGUCUUGUCUUUGUUUUAGUUUUCGUUGGGUUAUGCAGGUAUGCAACUUUGUGGCUCAUACAGCAGCAAAGCUUGCUAUAUGCUCCAACAUGUCUUUUUAUUUCAAUAACGAUAAUCUGCCUGUAGAACUUGUUUCUGCUUGUAAGGUAGACUAUCCUCUUGUUUCCCUUGUUUAAUGUUAAGAGAAGAUUAUCAAAAAAAAAAAAAAAAAA